rnacentral:antisense_RNA from 1 species
CUUUAUGGCGGGCCGUGCUGGGCAGGUUUCGGCCUGGCCGGGUUCCAAGUUUCCCGGUUUCUCACCCCGGCACGGUCUGCCACCCUU